UACCUGGCGGCGUGCCUAAUCAUGCAAGUCGAGCGAACUGAUUAGAAGCUUGCUUCUAUGACGUUAGCGGCGGACGGGUGAAUAACACGUGGGCAACCUGCCUGUAAGACUGGGAUAACUUCGGGAAACCGAAGCUAAUACCGGAUAGGAUCUUCUCCUUCAUGGGAGAUGAUUGAAAGAUGGUUUCGGCUAUCACUUACAGAUGGGCCCGCGGUGCAUUAGCUAGUUGGUGAGGUAACGGCUCACCAAGGCAACGAUGCAUAGCCGACCUGAGAGGGUGAUCGGCCACACUGGGACUGAGACACGGCCCAGACUCCUACGGGAGGCAGCAGUAGGGAAUCUUCCGCAAUGGACGAAAGUCUGACGGAGCAACGCCGCGUGAGUGAUGAAGGCUUUCGGGUCGUAAAACUCUGUUGUUAGGGAAGAACAAGUACGAGAGUAACUGCUCGUACCUUGACGGUACCUAACCAGAAAGCCACGGCUAACUACGUGCCAGCAGCCGCGGUAAU
rnacentral:rRNA from 1 species